AUUGAAGACUUCCAGUUCCGGGUUCCGCUGAUCAGAAGCGGACAAGCAAACAGCGGAUGUGCAGUUCCUCUCUUCGCCGAACCCGGUUUUCCCUUUCGGAGCAGCGCGACCGAUUUCCGGUUUCCCCGCCGCAACCACCGUUACCCCCCCCCCGCCCCAAUCCCCGGCGACUCCAGCGACGUCACCGGUUCAGCUCCUGACCUUUCGGCGAACCGCAGAACCACAGGCGACCCGUUCGACGUCAUCACUCCCCGCCCAGAUGUCGCUGUGACAUCACCCCGCACGUGCCUGCGCUGGCACCGCGUCGUCCUGGCGAGCGCCUCCUCGCGGCGGAAGGAGAUCCUGGGGUUCGCUGUGCGAGACAUGUCGGCGGGGUUUCACGUGAGUGACACUUGGUCCCCACGGGAUUGACAGCGACUAGCGGAGUGGCAUGUGGACGUAGCUUCAGGCCUUGGAGGGGCUGAUCCUGGAGAAGUCAAAGGACCAGGAGGACGCCAUGGGGGGUGCUGUACAGGCUGAGCAGGAAGCAGAGCAGCACAGCGUCAUCAUGAGGGUAGCCAUCUUCACCUGGGGCAUCCACGGAGGCCCUGCCCAGGAAGUGACUUUCUCUCUACUGUAGGAGGAGCUGAUCCACGACUACUUGGACAACAGCACACCAGCGAAGGAUGGUGAGGCCCUGCCCCCUGCCUGCACAUGACACUGCCCACGCCCUGUCUGAGACUCUACCAAGUGGUUCUGGGAUAAUAGAUUGAGGGGAUGGGGGCUGCAUACAUUUGCAUGAUUUUGCAUAUUUUGGGCUCAUUUGAAUAAAUUUGUAUAAGUUAACACCAGUUCUCUCAGGACAAAUUUGCAUAGAUUUGUGUGUGACGUCUUGGGCAAAUUAGCAUAAACCAAAAUGAUGUCAUAGUUGUGCUCUGCAUGCGUUUUUUGUGGGUUUUGCAUGAAUUUGCAUACAUCAGCUUCUUUGAAGUAGGUUUGCAUGAGCUGAGGUGACUUUGGUGGCUUCCUCUGUGAAUUUGCAUAAAUUUGCAUAAACCUGAAUGAUAACACA
rnacentral:lncRNA from 1 species